rnacentral:lncRNA from 1 species
UUUUCUAUUUCCAGCAGGACACAUCUGGCAAUGGAUGUGACAUUCAGCACUGCCCAGGUUUCUUUCACUUGGAAGAUGAAAACUGGUGAAUGGAAGGAGGCAAUCCUCUGGCAGUGGGAUGCUAUGGAGCAAUAAUCAGGCAAGUUUGCUUGCUUGAAGGCUGCUGAUAUCUGUGGUUGGAAGCUGGCAGACAUCUUAUGAUGGACCUAACAGUAGCUUUUGGCACAAUGGGACACUGUGACAGAAACCAAAGUGCACGGAAACACCGUAUACCUUCCCGCCACAGCGGUACCUAUUUAUUUACUUGCACUGGUGUGCUUUCGAACUGCUAGGCUGGCAGAAGCUGGGACAGAGCAACAGGAGCUCAUCCCAUCACGGGGAUUCAAACCGCUGACCUUCUGAUUGGCAAGCCCAAGAGGCUCAGUGGUUUAGAUCACAGCGCCACCCACGUCCCUUAUACUGCCAUGUACUGGAUCAACAUUUUCAUCAAACUAUACACCAUCAAGUUCUCCUGUGGAGUGGUACUGUUUGAGGCAGACAAACCCAUGUGUUUACGGCAGGAGAAAUUAGAAAUGGGUUGGGGUUUUGAUUUUUUAAAAAUGAAUUCAGUUUACAGAAUCCAUCUAAUGUGACAAUGUUCCUAUGUCCUGCCAAAGCACACACUGAUGCUCCAGACCAAGCUUUGCCACUGAUGGGAUGCAGCAUUUAACCAAUGUUGCACCAAAUGUUUCAGAUAUUGAUUCUCUUUUUAAAUGUGUUUUAUAGCUACCGUAUUUUUCGCUCUAUAACACGCACCCAACCAUAACACGCACAUAGUUUUAAGAGGAGGAAAAUCUGUAGGCAUGCCACCCGUAGGCAUUUCCUCCAUAACACGCACAGACAUUUCCCCUUACUUUCUAGGAGGAAAAAAGUGAGUGUUAUGGUGCAAAAAAUACGGUAUUUGGAAAACAACCUCUCUAAGCAUAAUUAUAAAUUACAAGAGUUGCCUAAUUUGUUUUUAACAUGGCGAGUAGAAUUCAAACCAAGUCAAGAAUUGCUUACUGCAUUUGAAUUUCCAUGGAAUGAAAUGGUUUAAGCAAAUAACUGCCACAAAGUGCUUUGGGAAAUAAUGGUGUAUGGAGGAGAUUUAUUUAAUGUGGAGAGAAAUCUAAGCUUUUAAUAGAAAACUGGCCAAAGUGUCAGCUACUGCUACAAAAUAAUUUUGUAAUGGCUACAGCAGACUAAUAUGCAACUCCAGUCUUGCAAAAAUGCAUACUGUUUGUUCAGUCAUUAGUACAGCAAGACUCUUUAUACGCUUCCAAGAACUAUUACGUAAGUAAGCAAUUAUGGUCCUUUUUAAUCAAAUAUUUAACAACCUGAAGUGGGGGGAAGACACCCAGCUUCAAAGGAACUAAUGCACUGUAGCAUUCCAAACAAAACAGUGUCCCAUAAUGUAAUGAAUUCAAAUGCCAAAUGUUGCAUCAAAUAUUUACUGAACUGGACAGAUCACACCUGUUCAGUAACUUGCUGCUUAUUUUGAUUACGGUUCAGAUGGAGGCAUCUAAAAUUAGUCCACUAACUUCCACAUAAAUGAUUUCAUUUAGGCAUGCACUAGUUUAUUAUUUAGUUCAGGCAGGAAUUGCAAGAAAAGACAUAAAGACAUACAUGCACCUUACAUGGGAACAUAUCCUUACUGAAGGAUAAAUAUACCUGUGCCUUCCUAUGAUCACCUAUAUGUUCUAAUUUAUUAGGUUCUCCAGAUCUGCAAAUUGUCAAGCUACAAAGUUAUGAGGUGAAGCAUACUAGGCACAAGGGGAAAGCACAUUGAAACAGGUACAGAUGUUACUACCUUUGCACAAGGGCAAGGUUAAACUACAGGCAUCGCAUGCCCAGCUGAAGCUACCCAAUGAGCCUUUUUCUGGGUAAUGAAAUGGCAUGCUAUAACAGCAUGCCACCCACAGCCAUGCAUACAUCAAUUUCAGAGGACAAUGUGGGUAGCAGCAGCAGCUUUAUGGUCCAGAUGGACCAUAAAGAAGGCUGAUUGCCAAAGAAUUGAUGCUUUCGAAUUCUGGUGCUGGAGGAGACUCUUGAGAGUCCCAUGGACUGCAAGAAGAUCAAACCUCUCCAUUCUGAAGGAAAUCAG